UUUGGUGUAGAAAGUCUUCAUGAAGCUUGAGUGCCUAGUGCCCCAAGUGUGACACCUCAAAUGGUUCACACAACACCAAAUACACAUGGAAUGACUUGAGAGAAUUCUUACGACUCAUGAAAUCGGCUAGCCCUUCUAGUAAACCCACUAGUGUCUCUAGUAACCGAUUUUGCCAAGAAUAAUAUCUUUAUAUAGUGUUACAAUUAGGGCAAACCCUAAUUGUCAUGACUUUCCAUUUCCUUGGAUCCAUGGGUUAUGUAACCUCCAUGGAGCAUCCAUGGACCAUCCUAUGGGUUUUAGCCCAACUUGAUUAUCCAUGGAGCAUUAGCCCACUAUACAAGUAUGGAUGAUUUACACAAUCAACCCAUAUAUUUAAUUAGUCUUCUUUUGAUCACUUAAUUAAUCCUAGAUUAAUUCUUGAUCAAUACUAAUUAAAUAAUCUUAUUAUUCUUAUUAUUAAUAUACUAGAACUUAUAAUAUAUUAAUAACCAUAAGUGUCUUAUUUCUCUCAUUUAGUCUAUCCAAGUGCAUGAUGCCAUGCAACCCAAAUGGACCAUGCCGGGUCGGGUCAAGUCUUACCAAUUAUAGUUAUGGACUUAGACAUUAAUCCAACAGUCUCCCACUUGGAUAAGUCUAAAACUAUUAUUGCGUAUGACUUCAGGAACCAACUGGCAAUCGUAGCUCUCAAAAGCUUCUGUCGAACUCUGACCUUGUAGAUGAACUCUGACCUUUGUCAAUGACUUGUCCAUUAGAUAAGGGAUCAUAUAUUCCUCCAUUCUAGAUAUCAUAUGGACUGAGACAUGGAUUAUAAUCAUUCUCUCUGUCCAUUUGUUGUUUCCCGAUUUCCGAUUUAUGACGACUGACUAAUUGAACAAAUCAAAUCAGUCCUGGCCCGGCCGAGCACUUCCAUUUGUCAUCAUCAAAUCAUCGAGGGGCCCACAGAUAUCGCUUUUAUCCCGAAGGUAAAAGGAAUGGAUAAACUUCGACUCAUAUGGCUUGUUCUACUACUUGUUGAAUCAUACACAAAGGCACGUUUUAUAGCACCGAGUUACCAAAUGCGUUUUCGUGCAAUCAAUGUACUAUCAACUCAUAGUAACAACUCAUAUCUCUAGGUUUGAAGAAUAUAAGAUAUUAUCGUCUCAUGAUCACUCGUGAUAAAAUCCAUGAAGUGAUUCCAAUGAGCGCGGGUUGAAUCCAAUACUCAGAACUUAUGAGCACUCAUGAGUGUUGUAGCCCUUUGUCCAACACCUUAGACCUCUACAAGCCAACCCAUGACAGUCUUAAUUCAUAUCUACUUCCAACAUAUGACCGACUGUGGAUGGUUUGAAUAACUUAGUCAUUCCGGAAGAAUAACCCAGUUUAUUCGGGAAGUCAAAACAUGCAAAAUGAAACACAAUAAUAAUUGAAUCCAAUAUGGUAUCAACCCUUUGAACAUAAAUAAAACACCUUUUAUUUAUCACCAUAUGAUUACACAUUAUUCAUUGUAUACUGUUUCAGCUAUCAACUUUAUUCUUGAAUUUAAAACAAUAGUUGUCCCAUGCUCCAAGCAUGUACACUAUGUUUUCUUAAACACUAGUCAUGCCACACACCAAGUAUGCAUACUAUGUUUGUCUAUGAUCUUUACUUUGUGAACUAGAUCAAUUGAACAUAACUUCAAUGAUUCUCUUUUCACACUCCCAAAUCCUUACUGCAAAUGCAAGAAUUCCAAAUUCAUGCCAUUUACUGAAAUCUGUUAGAUUCUAAACUUAUAUGCAUUGAUCCUCUUGUAAUGAUUAUGCACAAAGUCACAAAGACUUGGCAACAAUCAUUACAGAGUAUUCCAAAGGAGAUCAACUCCUUGGAAAUAUCCUUCUUGCAUUAAGUUUCCUUAAUCUUACACAGAUUGAAAAUUCUAACUUUGAAACAUUUCCAGAUUCCAUUUUGACUAUCACUUCUGAACAAGAGUUGCCUCCUUACAGAUUAUGUCAAUAUGGUCCUUCCAGAAUUAUCACUAUACUUCCAAUUGUCCUUGAGUAACCAAUCUUUGGUAAACCUUAGAUUGUCCUCGACAAUUGUUUAAUCCUUUUAGUCAUAUCCAGUUCUAAACCUUUUCCCUUCUUAAUGCCCCAGGCAUUUGGAAAAUUUUAGAACGGAUGAAUAUAGCACAUGUAAUCGAUCCUAUAUCCGAAGCAUAUGGGACACGAUUCAUGAUGUCUUACAUAAAGACUAAACCAGUCUUUUGCUAUAAUAUUUCCAUUUCAAUUUGCCAAGUUCUCAUAAUUCAGAUUAUGAAAAGGGAUGCCGUAAUCAUAAUCGAAUUUUAGAACGCAAAUAAUGGACCCAUAUACAGAAUUUCCUUAUGUUGAGCCAUUCCAACAUGAAAUUCAUAUAUAUCCUUGACUAAAUGAUUAAAACCUCACGAUCUAAGCUUAUAGAUUUGAGAUGAAGCAUAAUUUCCUCUCCCUUAAUUAUAGCAAAACAACUUUUUCCCAAUUGAAACUUUUGUUUUCUAUAAUUAACAUUGCUAACUUGCAAUACUUAUCAUAAUUAUCAUGCUCCCACUAACAUGAUGAUUAUUAGCAUAACACUUAUGCUCCCACUAGCUUUGACAUGUACUCAGAAAUCAGCUGGACAGUCUGAAAUUUAGAUUCAUACACCCUUUCCGUAGAUAGCUCACCUGUGUGUCUAAGCAAUUUCAAGAACCAUGAAAAGGGAUACCGUAAUCAUGGUCUCAAUUGCUUAGGCAUUUGCCAUUUCUCACAAGUCCAUGUUAGUGUGCCGGUUAACCACACGCGCUCCACUAACGACUUUUGAAAAUGCAAAUAACACAAUUGAUAUCUUCGUAAAAUCUACUUAGUGAAAGCGUUUCCUCACCAUCAUUUUCAUGAAUCGGAGAGAAACCUUAUGACACUUAGAUUUAUAUGGUGUAUGAGUUCCUACCCAUAUGAAUUUGUCAAACCAUAAUCACAAGACAAAGAUAAUGACAAAUCCAAAACCAUAUGGAUUGAACUCAAUCUUAACUUCUUGCCACCUGGCAGCUCAAGGGCCUGCCAUUGCUUCCAAGUUGUUAUGCAACAAACUGAGAACUCUAAGAACUCAUAUGCAAAGCCAACUUUAACUGGAAUGGGCACAGAUAUGUCAACACGAUAGGUUAUAAACCUCAAGUCGUGUGCUAGUGAAGAACUUCAGGUUUUAUUCUUGAUUAUUUCUUGAGACUUUCAAGACCUUUAAGACUCCCACUGUCCUCUUGACAUAUAAGACUCCCUUGUCAAACAUCCAAGAGAUAGUGCGGAUUCUAAUCAAGAAAAACACUUUACCCAAUUGGCCUAAGUUGGUCUUUGUUUUAUCCAAAACAUCACAACUUACCAAUUUCAAAUGUACAAGAGUAGAAAACUUUUACUCUUACAUUUGACAAGUGUUUUAAACCUUCUUUAAGACAUGUCACUCAAAUGACAAUCUUGGAGUAUGACUCUAAGACUUGUAUUGGAACGAAGUAUGACUCAUCUUCUUGAUUUAACCAUUUCAACAAUUCAAGUUCCUCUUCUUAGUCAUAAGAAUGCACUAAGAUUUCCUUAGAGAACUAAUUGUGAUAUGGUUUCUUAAUCAUUAAGAUGAUCACAAAACUGAUACUAAAGUACUCUCCCAUCUUUUCAGAUUUGAGAAACUUUUAUCCUUCUGCCUAAUUUGAUUCUUCUUAUCGAUCUUUAGUGGUGGACUUAAUCAGUGCACAAGAAUGUGUACUCGAUCCCUUAGUCCUUUACUUGACUCACACAUCCAUGUGAACAAGUAAUUAGUCUUAAUUUUCCAAAACUUGAAAGUUCUCAUUCAUCAUGCUAUACAACUUGCAUGAUUCCAAGUUCCGGUCCAAUUGAAACUUGGGUGAUGAGAAUCUUUCCUUAUUUGGUAAAUCUAGACAUUACCACAAAUGAAAGAAUCAAUUUCAUAUUUCCACUCUUGCUCUUAAUGGAAUCAUAUAAGCAACAAUUUUUCCUCAAAAGCCAUUGUAAGGAUAUUUUAAAAUAAAUAAAAUCAAAAAAAUUUUCUUUUAUUUUAAAACUUUGCGGAAAAACUUAUCCUUACAAUCCAUAUGAAAACUUGUUGUUAUCUAUUCCUAAGCAAUAUCUCAUAACUCCUAAGAAGUAGCUCAAGAAUCCGAUCUUCAAACUAUGCGAUAGAAAUCCAUCUACGCCAUCAGAUUCAGCAUAUUCUUUCUUUAAGUUUCUUCACUUUUCUUUGAUUCUUAAAACAUCACCAUGUGACCCAGUCACAUCAUGUAUCAAGAAUCUCAGAAUAGAAACUUAACAGAGUUAGAUAGUGGACUUUACCUGAAGUAGAGUCAAACUUAUUGACUUUAACAUCCUUAGGUAAAUUUGGCAGCUUCGCAACCAAUGCCCCUUCCUUUGGCAAUAUAAACAUAUGGACCCUUUGAUAAUGGUACACGGGACUAUCACAGACUUAGCUUUUCUCUUUACCAUUUGGUCAACCGAGUUGACUAUGGCCGAUCCCUUUCCAUUGGGAAGAGAAUGCUUUACUGGAUAUCCAAUGUCAUCAUUGUCAAUGUCCAUAAAGUUUUAGGAAGUUGAUCUUAGCAAAUAGAUAAGAUCAUUAAGGGUCUUGUCAUAGUCUGUUUCAUAGGUGUCCCAAAGGAACUCACUAUGUGACUUAGAAAGUGAUUGAACCACCAACUUUCUCAAGACUUUGACACCCAACUCUCCCGGCUUGUCAAUAUGUGACUACAUCUCCAAGAUGUGACCACACCUAGACCUUGCCUUGCUAAUAGGGCCUGAGUGACCUUAAACUUUUCAAGAACUUGUGGGUUAGGGAGAAUAAUUUGAAGAGGUGAAGAAGUAUGAUAUCCAUGGGACAUCAUCUUCAUUAGGAAACCUUGUUUCAAGAGAUUUGGGAAGAUCAUAGGUGUCUAAACCAGACAUCUUUUGGGAGAUAUUCAAGAUAGUUGAUUUAAAGUCCUUAAUAUGACACCCAAUAUGAAAUAUUAAGGCUAGGACCCAACAAACUAUUUUAUAACUUAGAAGAGGUAUGCCGUAAUCCAAGCUAUAAAAUAUUUGAAGGUAGGUGAAUGACGAUUCACCAAUUUCCACCAAGAUAAACGAAAUGUAUUAUUAGGUUUUAAUUGGUUUUGAAACUCCUAGAUCUUUGAGAUUCAUUGAACUUUUCAAAGGCAUGUUUCAAUCUCGAGUGUGCCCUUCAGGUUUUGUGACUGGGAUGCCGAGGAUCACAAAACAAGGUGUGAAGUAACCAUGCAAAUCACUUGGUACCCUUAAUAAAUUACCCCUCAAUCGAUGUGCCGGUUAACCACACACGCUCCAUCGAUACUAUGAUAAAUAUUAAGUCACCCUUUACCUACCUUGUUAAGUCCAAGUUAGUGUGCCGGUUAACCACACACGCUCCACUAACGACUUAGACAAAGUGUAAAGUGUAAUUUCAUGGAUUAGCACCUUAUUCACAUUUUUCCUAAGUAACUAAGAUUGGGUAUUAUUAAGAGUUUAGUUACUUAGUAUUAUCAUUAAUACUUUUAAUGAAGGGAGAAUUCUAGUCCUGUCAAACCCGUUCGGCUAACGACCCUCCACCAGUCAAGCAAGCGGUGGGUGAGAGUGGACACCCAUUAAGUUGCCAUUUUAUAGGCAACAACCUUAUACCCACCUUAUAGACCGGCUUCGUGAAUGAGGCGUACUAGCGGUAAGACUGACUUUACUCUUAUACAUAUAUAUAUUAUUAACUUAUAAUAUUAUAAAGUAUAAGGGUUGAAUUUUAACUUUUAAAAUUCUAAGGGCUAACUUGGAAUUAAAGUAUUCAUACUUGAAAACUUUUCAAAUUCCAAAACUUGAGGGCAAGUUUUGAAACUAUUCAAAACUAAUUAAUUCCAUAACUUAUGUGUUUAAAGUAGUUUUAAUCCAAAAACUCUUCAAGUUCCAUAACUUGAGGACAAGUUAUGGAAGACUUUAAACUAAUAAAAGAACUAACUUUUUCUUUAUUUUAUAACUUAUGGAUUUAAUUAUGGUUACAUAUUUUUCUUUAAUGAAGUGACUCUUGAACUUCCAUAACUUGAGGACAAGUUAUGGAGUCAAAAAAAAUUAUUCAAUGACACAAGACUCUUCAUUUUGUAACCAUUGCCAACUUUUAUGAAUUUUAUGAGUCUUUAAUGUGACUCUUCAUGUAACUUGAGGACAAGUUACACAAACACAUUUUAUACUCAACUCUUAGAUUAAAAUGGAUUGAAAACAACUAUUUCACUCAACAUUUCUAUUAAUCUAAGCAACUCAUAAGAACAAGAUAAUUCAAAUCAAACUUUUUCAUGUAAUUAGUCUAAACCUUAAACUAAUACAAAACAUGAAUCUAUUGACAAUUAUCUUUGAAAAUGGAUUAGCAUGAACAUUACCACAUCAAAAACAAGUUUAUAAGUUCAAAAACAACUUAGGGUAAUGUUCCUAGUCCAUUUCUAGCCAAAAAACUCGAAAAUAUGCUGUCUGGGGGUCCAACUCGUCGAGUGCAUGAACAAACUCGGCGAGUUGGAUCGAAUUCAUCACUUUUUAGGCAUGGACUCGUCGAGUCUCCUGAUGGACUCGCCGAGUCUGAUGGCCAGACAGCACCAGAUUCGUUUUUUCAGCUUCUAUUGCAGGUAUAACAAGAAAACAAGCCUAGGCUCUGAUACCUCUGUUGGGUUUUGAGCAUUCUAACACUCCUAAGUGUACAUGCAACCCUAAAUACCUUGGAUCUAUGUUUUCUCUAUUAUACAUGCAAAUAAGAACAUCCAAGGUAUUAUCCUAAUCUAGCAUACAAAACAAUGACUAUAGCAAGAUAGAAUACAUACCUCUUUGGUGUAGAAAGUCUUCAUGAAGCUUGAGUGCCUAGUGCCCCAAGUGUGACACCUCAAAUGGUUCACACAACACCAAAUACACAUGGAAUGACUUGAGAGAAUUCUUACGACUCAUGAAAUCGGCUAGCCCUUCUAGUAAACCCACUAGUGUCUCUAGUAACCGUUUUUGCCAAGAAUAAUAUCUUUAUAUAGUGUUACAAUUAGGGCAAACCCUAAUUGUCAUGACUUUCCAUUUCCUUGGAUCCGGGUUAUGUANAUGGACCAUCCUAUGGGUUUAACCCAACUUGAUUAUCCAUGGAGCUUUGGCCCACUAUAUAAGUUAUGGAUGAUUUGCACAAUCAACCCAUAUAUUUAAUUAGUCUUCUUUUGAUCACUUAAUUAAUCCUAGAUUAAUUCUUGAUCAAUACUAAUUAAAUACUAUUAUUCUUAUUAUUAAUAUACUAGAACUUAUAAUAUAUUAAUAACCAUAAGUGUCUUAUUUCUCUCAUUUAGUCUAUCCAAGUGCAUGAUGUCAUGCAACCCAAAUAGACCAUGCCGGGUCGGGUCAAGUCUUACCAAAUAUAGUUAUGGACUUAGACAUUAAUCCAACAGUAAUGACUUUUAAUCGGUUACCUGUAAAAGAUCAGACUUGUAAUAUCUCGUUAGGGUUAGAUUAACGAUUAAUGAGAUACGUCAAUAUGGAAUGACAGCUCAAUUAAUAUCAAUCAAUGCGGAAUUAAAAACCCUAAUAACUUCU
rnacentral:lncRNA from 1 species